rnacentral:rRNA from 1 species
GACGAACCGUGCGAACGUUGUUCGGAAUCACUGGGCUUAAAGGGCGCGUAGGCGGGCGGCCAAGUCGGAGGUGAAAGCCUGCAGCUCAACUGCAGAAGUGCCCCCGAUACUGGUUGUCUCGAGGGAGGUAGGGGCAUGUGGAACUUCCGGUGGAGCGGUGAAAUGCGCAGAUAUCGGAAGGAACGCCGGUGGCGAAAGCGACGUGCUGGACCUCUACUGACGCUGAGGCGCGAAAGCCAGGGGAGCAAACGGG